ensembl:lncRNA
ACGACUGACUUGAGCCAGAUCUGUGUCUGCUGUGGCUGUAAGAUUGACUUGAGCCAUAUUGACUUGAGCCAUGUUGACCAUAGCUAGAGGACUGACCUAAGUUAGAUCCCUGCUGGCCACAGCUUGAUGACUGUCCUGAAGUAGAACCAUGUUGUCCAUAGCUAGAGGAUUGACCUAAACCAGAGCUAUGCUGACCAAAGCCAGAUGACUCUCUUGAGCUAGAACCAUGCUGACCAAAGCUGGAAGAUUGACCUGAGCCAAGUCCUUGUUGGCUGUGGCCAGAAGACUGACUUGAGCCAGAUCUGUGUCUGCUGUGGCUGUAAGAUUGACUUGAGCCAUAUUGACUUGAACCAUGUUGACCAUAGCUGGAGGACUGUCCUAAGUUAGAUCUCUGCUGGCCACAGCUUGAUGACUGUCCUGAAGUAGAACCAUGUUGUCCAUAGCUAGAGGACUGACCUAAGCCAGAUCCAUGUUGACCAAAGCCAGAUGACUCUCUUGAGCUAAAACCAUGCUGACCACAGCUAGAAGACUGACUUGAGCCAGAUCCAUGUCGGCUGUGGCCAGAAGACUGACUUGAGCCAGACCUGUGUCGGCUGUGACCAGAAUACUGACUGUACUGACUGGAGCUAUAUUGACUUGAGCCAUGUUGACCAUAGCUAGAGGACUGACCUAAGUUAGAUCUCUGCUGGCCACAGCCUGAUGACUGUCCUGAAGUAGAACCAUGUUGCCCAAAGCUAGAGGAUUGACCUAAGCCUGAGCCAUGCUGACCAAAGCCAGAUGACUCUCUUGAGCUAGAACCAUGCUGACCAAAGCUGGAAGAUUGACUUGAGCCAAGUCCUUGUUGGCUGUGGCCAGAAGACUGACUUGAGCCAGAUCUGUGUCUGCUGUGGCUGUAAGAUUGACUUGAGCCAUAUUGACUUGAACCAUGUUGACCAUAGCUGGAGGACUGUCCUAAGUUAGAUCUCUGCUGGCCACAGCUUGAUGACUGUCCUGAAGUAGAACCAUGUUGUCCAUAGCUAGAGGACUGACCUAAGCCAGAUCCAUGUUGACCAAAGCCAGAUGACUCUCUUGAGCUAAAACCAUGCUGACCAAAGCUAGAAGACUGACUUGAGCCAGAUCUGUGUUGGCUAUUGCGAGAAGAUUGACUUGAGCCAUAUCUGUGUUGGCUAUUGCGAGAAGAUUGACUUGAGCCAUGUUGACUUGAACCAUGUUGACCAUAGCUGGAGGACUGACCUAAGUUAGAUCCCUCCUGGCCACAGCUUGAUGACUGUCCUGAAGUAGAACCUUGUUGUCCGUAGCUAGAGGACUGACCUAAGCCAGAUCCAUGUUGACCAAAGCCAGAUGACUCUCUUGAGCUAGAACCAUGCUGACCACAGCUAGAAGACUGACCUGAGCCAGAUCCAUGUUGGCUGUGGCCAGAAGACUGACUUGAGCCAGAUCUGUGUCUGCUGUGGCUAUAAGACUGACUUGAGCCAUAUUGACUUGAGCCAUGUUGACCAUAGCUGGAGGACUGACCUAAGUUAGAUCUCUGCUGGCCACAGCUUGAUGACUGUCUAGAAGUAGAACCGUGUUGUCCAUAGCUAGAGGACUGACUCAAGCCAGAUCCAUGUUGACCAAAGCCAGAUGACUCUCUUGUGCUAGAACCAUGCUGACCAAAGCUAGCAGACUGACCUGAGCCAGAUCCAUGUCGGCUGUGGCCAGAAGACUGACUUGAGCCAGACCUGUGUUGACUGUGACCAGAAUACUGACUUGAGCCAUGUUGACCAUAGCUGGAGGACUGACCUAAGUUAGAUCCAUGUUGGCCACAGUUUUGUGACUGUCCUGAGGUAGAACCAUGUUGUUCAUAGCUAGAGGAUUGACCUAAGCCAGUUCUGUGCUGAUUAAAUCCAGAAGACUCUCCUGAGCCAGACCUGUGUUGUCUAUAGCCAGAAGACUGACCUGAGACAGUCCUUUGUUGGCCAUAGCUAGAUGUCUGACUUGAUUCAGACCUAUGCUGGCCAUGAUUAAGAGAUUGACUUGAUCCAGUACUGUGUUGGCCACAGCUGGAUGACUGACCUGACCCAGAUCCAUAUUGACCACAGCUAGUAGAGUGACCUAAGCUAGGUCCAUGUUGGCUACAGUUCGGUGGCUGUCUUGAAGUAGCACUAUGCUGUUCAUAGCUAGAGGAUUGACCUAUGCCAGUCCCAUGGUGACUAAAGCCAGAAGACUGACCUGAGCUAGAUCUAUGUUGUCCAUAGCCAGAGGAUUGACCUGAUCCAAACCCAUGUUGGAUACUGCUAGAUGGCUGUUCUGAGCCUGACCUGUGUUGGCCAUAACUAGAUACCUCACUCGAACUAGAAGUAGAACAGUUUCCUUGUUCUUCACAAUUUCCUGAUUGAUAUCCUUCAUUUGAUUCGUGCCAUCUCUGCUGAGAAGGCUGGCCUGAGCCAUAGCCAUGACCAUAACCAGCAGGCUCACUUGAAUUUGACCAGUGGUCUUGUCCUCCACAACUCCCUGAGAUGAAUCCAUGAUGCUCCUUACUAGGUGACUGGCUUGGUUUUUUCUUAUGUUGUCUAUUCCCCAGAGAUUCAUUUGAGUCAGACCAGUUUUGAGCAAAACUGAAAGACUGAUCCUCUGAGUGGCUCACACGCCCUUCUUCUCCAUAAGUACCUGACCAAUUUCCUGAGUUUGAUCUUGUUCUGUGGUUGCUUGAAUGAGUAUAACCAACUUCUUCACUCCUAGACCUUUUGUGCUGAUGAGAGCCAUGCUUGUUUUUCUUGCUACCCUUGGAGUGGCCUGAAUUUGACUCCCUCCUUCUUUCCCUAGAGCUUUGCCUGUCCCUAGAAUGAGACAAGCCUCCUUGAUGCCCAGUUACUCUGGAGCUGGACCUAGACCUGUGUCUAAAGCUACCUCCAGAGCCUCUGGAAUGGGAAUCGUUCUCUCCUUCACUCCAACUUAAGUUACUGGAAGACGAUUUUUGCCCUUCAUCCUCCUCUUCUGUUUCACUCUGUUCCUCUUGGUCCUGGUGACUGUGAUCCCUUUGCUUUGACCCUGAAGCUUGGCAGUAAUCUUUGCUGACGAUUUUAUUACAGGCCUGAGCCAGCUUGAAUAUCAUCAGAAGGUACUCAGUAAAUUCUACUUUCUUGUUACGGUCGUGAUCUAGAUUUUGCAUGAUGAUAUCUACAGUGUCUGGAUCAUCUGGAUUCU